AUUAUUCCAAAGCGGAUUGGUUUUUCGGCCAUUUGAUUAUUUGGAGUCUGGGAAGAGGGUCAGGUGGUAGCUAGAAGCGACGGACGAGCGAGGCUUCUAUUUAUAGACAGGGAUCCAAUGACCACCGAGCGAGGCUUCUAUUCAUAUGGGGAGGGGGGUCAGGCGUGCAGAUUUAAACAGCUGUCUCCUUCAAAACGAGAACAACACCCGCUCUUUUCCCCACUCUUUCCACUUUCUGUUUUUGUUGUUUUUUAUUUUCAUAUAUUUAUUUUUUUCUCUUUUCUUGUCCCUUUUUUUCUGCUUCUGUUUCCCUUCUCCCAGUUUUUGGUAAAACAUAAUCCCAGGCAUCUCUCUCUCUC